rnacentral:rRNA from 1 species
AGUGAACGCUGGCGGUAGGCCUAACACAUGCAAGUCGAACGGCAGCACAGUAAGAGCUUGCUCUUACGGGUGGCGAGUGGCGGACGGGUGAGGAAUACAUCGGAAUCUACUUUUUCGUGGGGGAUAACGUAGGGAAACUUACGCUAAUACCGCAUACGACCUACGGGUGAAAGCAGGGGAUCUUCGGACCUUGCGCGAUUGAAUGAGCCGAUGUCGGAUUAGCUAGUUGGCGGGGUAAAGGCCCACCAAGGCGACGAUCCGUAGCUGGUCUGAGAGGAUGAUCAGCCACCCUGGAACUGAGAAACGGUACAGACUCCUACGGGAGGCAGCAGUGGGGAAUAUUGGACAAUGGGCGCAAGCCUGAUCCAGCCAUACCGCGUGGGUUAAGAAGGCCUUCGGGUUGUAAAGCCCUUUUGUUGGGAAAGAAAAGCAGCAGGUUAAUACCCCGCUGUUCUGACGGUACCCAAAGAAUAAGCACCGGCUAACUUCGUG